CUCCACCCAGUUGUGUGUAUCUCUUUAUUGAACGCAGUUUGUUUCUGGCCAUUGAAAAGUUAUAAAUAAAUAAUCAGCCUUAUUGGUUGGUGCACAGCUUAGAGGUCUCGGCUGUGGGUAAAAACCUAGAGUUAAAGCUGCUAGAAGGGGGAGAGAAGUGGAUUGGGGAACCAGUUUAGGGAGAGAGUAGGGGUUAGGACAAGAAGCAUGGGGUGUUGAAAUGGUAAUAGGCUUCAGAUGAGGUGUUUUUUUCAAGGUGGCAGUUUGGAAUUCUUUGUGAUCUGACUUCGGUGAUUUUUGUCCAUAAAAUGAGAUUAUUCCUUCCUUCCAGGAUUGUGAAGAUGGGACCAGUGCUCAGUGUCAGGGUUAACCACUUGAAACAAAAACUUGAGGGUGUAUGAGGAGGGGAGGGGCUUUAAAUGAAAAUUUUAAGUGGGGGAAAAAAAAAUGUGAGCCAUUGGCCAGGGUUGGAAUUCUAAGCAAAGAGCCCUCCAGAUGGGAAUAAACCCAUGUGGUUGUAUACACCUGUAAUCUCAGCAAUGCGGGAAAUUAUGGCAGGAGCAUCAAGUUUUGAGGCCAGUCUGGGCAAUUUAGCAAGGCUAUGAAUGUAGCUCAGUGGUAGUGUGUGCACCAGGGUUCAACCCCAAGUAUAAAAGGGGCAGGGUCAGCAAUAGAAACAGCUGUAAAGCCUGCAUGCAUUUGGGCUCAGGAUGUAUGUCUAGUUAUUGUGGAAGGUAUUUGCGGAUAUUAUGGAGUAGUUUUUUGAUGCUUUGUGGGAAGGUUGUAGAUUGAUUUAUCAUCUUUAGGCAGAAAUCUCAAGUUGGAGCUUUAGCUUUCAUGGAGUCAGCAGUUCCCAUGAAAACUCUCAGCCUUGCUUGAACAGGAGGGUGCUGAAACAAACCUGCCUUGUCUUAGGAUGCUGCUUUUGCAAAUAUUUUCCUUUUGCAUCCAUCCUCUUUGCCUCUUUCCCAUUUUUUCUUAGUUUGCUUCUGCUUUGGAGUCAUAGAUCAGGUUUUGAGUCUGCCCUUGAAUGGGCAGGUAUCAUGAGAUGUUCAGGCAUCAGGAUGCAAGCUUGACAGGCCUGCCCAUUUAUAAAAAUCCCCACUUUUUUUUAAUUGGGAUCAGCUUCUGUGGCAGUCAUACCAUGUUGUUUGUUUUUUAAAGAUCUAAGCAUUUCAUUCCUUAUAUAUUUGAUACAUUCCCUUUUCCUUAAUUUCAAAUCUCAGACUGAACAUGUGGCUGCAUGCUGCCAGGCAAGCACUCUACUAUUGAGCUUGCUACACUCCUAGCCCUAACUGCAUUCUUAAAUGUUCUCAUUCCUGUACUUGAAACCAGUCAUAGAGCGGUAAUGACCAC
rnacentral:lncRNA from 1 species